rnacentral:rRNA from 1 species
UACGUAGGGGGCGAGCGUUAUCCGGAAUUAUUGGGCGUAAAGAGUGCGUAGGUGGUUGUUUAAGCGUGGGGUGAAAGGCAAUGGCUUAACCAUUGUGAGCCUCGCGAACUGGGCGACUUGAGUGCAGGAGAGGAAAGCGGAAUUCCUAGUGUAGCGGUGAAAUGCGUAGAUAUUAGGAGGAACACCGGUGGCGAAGGCGGCUUACUGGACUGUAACUGACGCUGAGUCACGAAAGCGUGGGUAGCAAACAGGAUUAGAUACCCGCGUAGUCCCUGAG